rnacentral:rRNA from 1 species
UACGAAGGGGGGCUAGCGUUGCUCGGAAUCACUGGGCGUAAAGCGCACGUAGGCGGAUUGCUAAGUCAGGGGUGAAAUCCUGGAGCUCAACUCCAGAACUGCCUUCGAUACUGAGGAUCUCGAGUCCGGGAGAGGUGAGUGGAACUGCGAGUGUAGAGGUGAAAUUCGUAGAUAUUCGCAAGAACACCAGUGGCGAAGGCGGCUCACUGGCCCGGUACUGACGCUGAGGAGCGAAAGCGUGGGGAGCGAACGAGG